CAGCCGCCGCGGUAAUUCGUAGGGUGCGAGCGUUAAUCGGAAUUACUGGGCGUAAAGCGUGCGCAGGCGGUUCGUUGUGUCGGCGGUGAAAGCCCCGGGCUCAACCUGGGAAUGGCCGUUGAAACUGGCGAACUGGAGUGUGGCAGAGGGGGGUGGAAUUCCGCGUGUAGCAGUGAAAUGCGUAGAGAUGCGGAGGAACACCGAUGGCGAAGGCAGCCCCCUGGGCUGACACUGACGCUCAGGCACGAAAGCGUGGGGAGCAAACAGGAUUAGAUACCCUGGUAGUCCACGCCCUAAACGAUGUCGACUAGGUGUUGGGGAAGCGAUUUCCCAGUACCGUAGCUAACGCGUGAAGUCGACCGCCUGGGGAGUACGGCCGCAAGGUUAAAACUCAAAGGAAUUGACGG
rnacentral:rRNA from 1 species